GGUAAUGUGUGUCGAUCUUCCUUUCAGGGGUCUUUCCCAAGAUUCAUCAUAUGGUCAAAAUCUGGUCGAUAGUAGAUUUUCCAGGUCAAAAGUCACUAAGCCAUAAGGUCUAAUCAGUUGACGGUGGACUUCAACCUUUCAUAUACUACGCUCGAUAAGACCUUAUAAGCGAUAUUAAGGAGGCUUACCCCACGGUAAUUGGGGCAGAUUGUGCGGUACCCCUUUUUGUGCAUUGGGCAAAGAAGACUUAAGUUCCAAUCAUCGGGCAUGCUGUCAUCCGACCAUACCUUACAAAGAAACUGAUGCAUUCACUUUGUUAGUUUUUCGCCGUCCUAUUUGACUACAUCGGCCGGUAAUCCCUUGGGCCCUGUCGCUUUGUUGUUCUUCAGGCAAGUAAUUGCUAGUCGGACAUCAAAAUAGGCGGACAAUAGGACAUCUAUUCAAUCGUCAUAGAUGGUGAAAUAAACAUCGACUUCAACCAUCAUUUUAGAGAAGGGGCUUGUGCGUCUAAAAGCGCUAUCGUGAGUUCUUCUGUCUGGUUUUGAUAGAAACAGCAAUUUCACUCUUUUCACCUUCUUGGUAUAUAUGGACGAAUAUUGGCCUUCAAGUCGUAGAACCACAUGUUCCUUUAGGUUUUGCAGCAUUUGAAGAGUAAUUACACCUAGACCCUCCGCUUUAAAUGUUAUAGAAUGAAAAUUUUUUCCACGACGACUUCAGUCGUUAAACUUAACGAAAGUGGGCGAUUUCCAGUAAUGUACAGAAUGUGCACCGCUUAGAUCAUCAUGACACACACGAACCAAAACACAGGAGCUGUGGAAUAUUAAUGAACCGAGUAGUGGCAAUAAGGAUGGGAAAUUUCAUAAGUAAAAUAUCCUAAUGCAGAACAAAACUGACUGAGAAACUGGCAAAGAAAUGAAUUUAACUAUCUGCCAAUGAAGUAGUCGAUCUAAAUUCUUUUAAGUAGGUCUUCGUUUAAACCCAUAUUAAGAAUAUCAAGGGUUGUCGGAAUAAAUGAAAUAUACAAAGUUAAAUGCAGCUUCAGAUUA